GGCAGGAAGCACAAUUGUGGGGAUCCCACAUCAGAUCCCAUCAUGCCUUUACUUGCCAAAGGCCUUACUUGUUCCUCAGGAUGACAGAUUAUUGGACCCUGUAUGCAGAGCUUUUCUGAAUCACCUUGACGCCAACAGCUUGAAUCCUGCACAAAGUGCUUUCUACUGUGUCUGCGAGCAGCUUUCCACUUGCCCUCUGUCAUCUGCGUAGACCAGCUCUCUCAACCUGCCGAUCACAUUGUUCCAGCCUGCCCACCCACUGUGCCUGGGACCUACACCUGUCUAAUUUUGCUUGUUCUGCACAGCUGAAUUUUAACUUGUAUUUAUGCCAUAAAAGUCAGGUUCUUCUGAUAUUUACACUGGAGUUACUCAGGAACCAGGGCCUUUUCCAGUUCCCACUGAAGUUAAUGAAAAGAGUCUUACUGACAUAAGCAUAGAAGUCAGAUCAGGACCUUACAGCAAGGCACAUCAUAAAUUAAUACAGAAUCUGACCCUUCAUGACUGUUUUAAAGGCAUGCACUUGAAUCUAAGCCAAUGUAUUUAAUUGCAGGAAUACUGAAAUAUUUUUAUGUAAAUGGAGCCCAAAUUUCUAUGCUAUUAAUAAAUAUUUCCAUUAUACACCAGUGUUCAUGGCCCUGAACAAAGCCAGGAAGACAAAUACGUAAUGC